rnacentral:rRNA from 1 species
UCCGGUUGAUCCUGCCGGAGGCCACUGCUAUGGGGGUCCGACUAAGCCAUGCGAGUCAUGGGGCGCCUUGCGCGCACCGGCGGACGGCUCAGUAACACGUCGGUAACCUACCCUCGGGAGGGGGAUAACCCCGGGAAACUGGGGCUAAUCCCCCAUAGGCCUGAGGUACUGGAAGGUCCUCAGGCCGAAAGGGGCUCUGCCCGCCCGAGGAUGGGCCGGCGGCCGAUUAGGUAGUUGGUGGGGUAACGGCCCACCAAGCCGAAGAUCGGUACGGGUCAUGAGAGUGGGAGCCCGGAGAUGGACACUGAGACACGGGUCCAGGCCCUACGGGGCGCAGCAGGCGCGAAACCUCCGCAAUGCGGGAAACCGCGACGGGGGGACCCCCAGUGCCGUGGCAACGCCACGGCUUUUCCGGAGUGUAAAAGGCUCCGGGAAUAAGGGCUGGGCAAGGCCGGUGGCAGCCGCCGCGGUAAUACCGGCGGCCCGAGUGGUGGCCGCUAUUAUUGGGCCUAAAGCGUCCGUAGCCGGGCCAGUAAGUCCCUGGCGAAAUCCCACGGCUCAACCGUGGGGCUUGCUGGGGAUACUGCUGGCCUUGGGACCGGGAGAGGCGGAGGGUACUCC